AUCAGUUACAAGUGAGAAACAGCACUUGCAAUGCUUUGAACUGUAAACAAGGCUCGUGUCAUGCUUUUGUUUACAUAUAGAAGGCUUAAUAGAAAAUAACAUGUUUAAAACAAAAUGAGAUGUGUGUUAACUUGUGAAUUUAAAAAAUCUCCUUUAAACGCUCUUUUACUUGUAUAUUUUACCUAUGUAGACAAAAGCAUGGCACGAGCCUUGUUUACAUAACAAGAAAUUGUGAGCUCUGUAUCUCUCAUGUACCUUGACAACUGAUAUUCAAAUUUUUGCUAACCAUUAGAAAUACCUUACUUAAGCAUACUGAACCUUAAAAACGGAAAUAUAAAAUUUGAAAAUUUUAGGCUCAAAUCGUGUCCAUGUCCCGUUAAUAAAGUAUUACAAAAUGUCGUAAUAGUGACUUCUAUAAUCACGGGGAAAAAAUUAAGAACAUCGCAAAUAUCAGAUGAAUAUCGUUUUUAGAAAUUAUCGAUGUGUCAGAUCGUUGGUCUAGGGAGGGAAUGUCCUUUGUUGAUGUGAUGAAGUUAAUUUUCAUUUUGUUAGUUUUUUGUGGUAUUGUCUGUAAAUAGUUGUUUAUGCUUGUAAGGUGUUUCCGUAGUGUGAGUGUUGGUCGAUAAGGCUAUUUUUAGCAUACCGGUUUGGUCAGUCAGAGUAGCGGCUGUUUGUCAAGCGUGCGGCCACGUUUUCAUGCUGUCCAGCAGGGGUCUUUUCUUGGCGAAUUCCAGAAGUUAGUCUGGGUAAUGGGUAGCCAGAGAGACAAACAUUUUACUGUGUGGGCAUAGGUUUUUUCCAGCCGUGCAGAGGGGAUUUAAGAAGCUAUCUGGGCCAUAUCAGUCAGUACUCUCAGCAUUUCAGUAGGUGCUCGGCGUGGGAAUCAGAACACGUGAGACUGUGCUGUAUGUACAUGGGUGUUCCACGUGGUGCACUUGGCAAUUAUUUUGUGAGCCUAGUGUUGCCAUUGGUUUGAAGUCGGCGUUACCCAGUAUCGUUGUUCAGUGAGAGACCUGUGAGUCCGGGACUGGAAGCGGAGGGGCUGUUCGAGCUGUAUGGAGGCCUGGUGGUGCCAAGUGUGACGUGGCGUUAAAUUGAAUUGUGCUGAGUAGCCAAACUUUCAUAUUGUGUUUCAGUAAACUAACAUUUUAUCAAAAAGGAAUUUGAGAAAUUUGUACAAAACGUAAUUUACUACUGUUUAACUUUUUCUGUAGAUAGCGGAAUUAGCGACUAUUCGAACCAUUAUGUAAUACAUUUAUUACCAGUUAUAUUUUCAGCCUGGAAUGACAUACUUGUUGUAUUACCUAUUGAAUUGUCUUGACAGUUAUACGUUAUAUUGAUUGUCAAUAUUGCCAGGUUUAUUAUACCAAUUUAUAUUUCUUUCUCGGUGAGAGAGUAUGGGUGUGUGAAUGUGAAAGUGUGAUUUCUUUGUUUUUCAAAUAUCUCUAUAUUUCUUAUCUUAUUGCUAAAUAAAUUUUCUUUUUAUUUAU